rnacentral:tRNA from 1 species
GCGGGUGUAGCUCAGCGGUAGAGCCUCAGCUUCCCAAGCUGAGGGUCGCGGGUUCAAUUCCCGUCACCCGCU